rnacentral:rRNA from 1 species
UACGUAGGGUCCGAGCGUUGUCCGGAAUUAUUGGGCGUAAAGGGCUCGUAGGCGGUUUGUCGCGUCGGGAGUGAAAAUCCAGGGCUUAACUCUGGACUGGCUUCCGAUACGGGCAGACUAGAGGUAUGCAGGGGAGAACGGAAUUCCUGGUGUAGCGGUGAAAUGCGCAGAUAUCAGGAGGAACACCUAUUGCGAAGGCAGCUCGCUGGGACGUAACUGACGCUGAGACGCGAAAGCGUGGGGAGCAAACAGG